CUCAUGGUUUCACGGUAUUGCAAUGAGAACAAUUUAAAACCCUUAGCGAGAAUCAAGUGGAGGACAAGUCUGGUGCCAGCACCCGCGGUAAUUCCAGCUCCACUAGCGUAUAUUAAAGUUGUUGCAGUUAAAAAGCUCGUAGUUGAACCUCUGUCUGGGGCUAGUUUUGGCUUUGGUCAGGCUAGUUCUAGGCAUCCGCCUACAAGACUUAGAGGGCAUUCAGUUGUUCACUAGGAGGAGUAGGCAUUUUACUUUGAAAAAAAUUAGAGUGUUUAAGGCAGGCAAUCGCCCGCAUAUAUUAGCAUGGAAUAAUAGAAUAGGACACUUUUCCAUUUCGUUGGUUAUUGGAAUCGUGUAAUGAUUAAUAGGGACAGUUGUGGCAUUUGUAUUUAAUUGUCAGAGGUGAAAUUCUUAGAUUUAUUAAAGACAAACUAACGCGAAAGCAUUUGCCAAGGAUGUUUUCAUUAAUCAAGAACGAAAGUUAGGGGAUCAAAGACGAUCAGAUGCCGUCCUAGUCUUAACUAUAAACUAUUCCGACUCAAUGUUUGACUGGCUUAUAUAACCAGUUGAGCGUUGUAUGAGAAAUCAAAGUCUUUAGGUUCUGGGGGGAGUAUGGUUGCAAAGCUGAAACUUAAAGGAAUUGACGGAAGAGCACAACCAGGAGUGGAUUCUGCGGCUUAAUUUGACUCAACACGGGGAAACUUACCAGGUUAAAACAAUAGUGGGAUUGACAGUUUGAGAGCGCUUUCUUGAUUGGUUGGGUGGUGGUGCAUGGCCGUUCUUAGUUGGUGGAGUGAUUUGUCUGCUUAAUUGCGUUAACGAACGAGACCUUAACCUGCUUACUAGACUGGCGAUCAUCAAUCGUUAGCUCUUCUUAGAGGGACUUUGGUUGUUUUAACUCCAAGGAAGUUUGAGGCAAUAACAGGUCUGUGAUGCCCUUAGAUAUCCUGGGCCGCACGCGUCAUACAAUGACUAGUUCAGAAAGUUUUCUCCUGACCCGAAAGGGGAUGGGUAAUCUUGAUAAUACUAGUCGUGUUAGGGAUCGAUCUUUGCAAUUAUAGAUCUUGAACGAGGAAUUCCUAGUAAGUGCGGUUCAUCAGACCGUACUGAUUACGUCCCUGCUCUUUGUACACACCGCCCGUCGCUUCUACCGAGUGGGUGGUCCGGUGAGAUAAUUGAACUUCGCAGGUAACUGAGAGGAAAGAUUAUCAAACCUAUCCACCU
rnacentral:rRNA from 1 species